UACGGAGGGUGCAAGCGUUGUUCGGAAUUAUUGGGCGUAAAGCGCACGUAGGCGGCUCUUUAAGUCUCACUGUGAAAGCCUGCGGCUCAACCGCAGGAGGCCAGGGGAUACUGGAGGGCUGGAGAUAGGUAGAGGCGAGCGGAAUUCCGGGUGUAGCGGUGGAAUGCGUAGAGAUCCGGAAGAACACCAGAGGCGAAGGCGGCUCGCUGGACCUCAUCUGACGCUGAGGUGCGAAAGCGUGGGGAGCGAACAGG
rnacentral:misc_RNA from 1 species